rnacentral:rRNA from 1 species
UUGUCCUACGGGGGGCAGCAGUGGGGAAUAUUGGGCAAUGGGCGCAAGCCUGACCCAGCAACGCCGCGUGAAGGAAGAAGGCCCUCGGGUUGUAAACUUCUUUUAUCAGGGACGAAGAAGUGACGGUACCUGAUGAAUAAGCCACGGCUAACUACGUGCCAGCAGCCACGGUAAUACGUAGGUGGCAAGCGUUAUCCGGAUUUACUGGGUGUAAAGGGCGUGUAGGCGGGGAAGCAAGUCAGAUGUGAAAUUCCAGGGCUCAACCCUGGAACUGCAUUUGAAA